UCAUGUCCAUGGCAAAUGGGGGACCUGUGUUCUUCAGGACGAAAUUCUCAUCAUCAAAUUUCUUCCUGUAGAUGGACUUGCCACCUAUGCCAUUGUGGUGUGU